UAUAACAUAUUUACUUGCAAAAGAAAAAUGAAAGCAUACAAUUUUUACCGAACAGCUGAGAGCUGACUAUGCGUUGCUAACUAAAUCGAUUUAUUUUAUUUGGUUUACUAUUUUUUUUGGCGCAUAUUUCAAAAAGUUUUUGACAUUUCCGGUGACGAAAGGACAAAAAUGUGUAAAAUUAGUUUUUUCUACAAUUUCUUCCCAAUAAAACAACAACUUGCAACACAAGUUAUUAUUUUUGAGACUUCUUCAUUCAACAAGCACAACUACGUAUCUGCAUUAAAGUACAGUCUCAAUACUGGUUAUAGUGUCGGUUUGGCGGAGUGUUUCGUUUAGUACCUUUUGUACAUCUGUACUAAAUUCCUCGACUUGUUUGCCAUGUGCCACUUUAAGUUUCUCCAUAGCACGUCCCUGUUUAACGCCGAUUUGCUAUAGGAAAAUAAAUUGUCGGGCGAACAACACUCGAAGGAUACUCAUAAAGCAGGCAAUAUGGCUUGAAGGACAAUGAAGAUGUCCCACUUCUACUACUCAGCACACACAGCGAGGUAAGGCAGAAAAAUGCCAAUAAAACAAAAAGAAAAUAUGCUUAAAGGUUCACAACGUUUAAUGAUGCUGGAGUGGGCGGUGUAAUGAAAGGAAAAAUAUUAGUGUUAGAAGUGAAAAUUAUAUUAAUAAAUAUUUAAAAAGCAAAAAAUAGUGAA